GCGUAUGGAAGCUUAAGGUCAUUCCCUGCAUUCCGUUUUUUGGUGGAACCAAUUCACUUGAGUGAGACAGAGAAGAGUGGAAUUUUGUGUGUAGGGGUGAAAUCCGUAGAUCUACGAAGGAACGCCAAAAGCGAAGGCAGUUCUCUGGGUCCCUACCGACGCUGGGGUGCGAAAGCAUGGGGAGCGAACAGGAUUAGAUACCCUGAUAGUCCAUGCCGUAAACAAUGAGUGUUCC
rnacentral:ncRNA from 1 species